GUGAAUCAUCGAAUCUUUGAACGCAAAUUGCACUCUCUUCGGAGAGUAUGCCUGUUUGAGGGUCAGUAUUAAUAAAAAAUCGGUUUGGUUGCAAAUUGUGUCUUUUCCGGAGUUUGUGCUUAUCUUAACUUUUUUGGUUAAGGGGCUUAAAAUUGACCUUUUUUGCGCAUUUUUAUACGUACAUAUAUUUUUUUUUAUUCGUCUAUUCUUAAUUCCAACUUCUUAUUAUAUUCAAUCAUAUCGUUUGGCUUCGUUUCCU
rnacentral:misc_RNA from 1 species